CAUGUUAUUCACGGCAGUAAACUACUUAGUUAUGACUAAUAAUUUCUUUUUGAUAUUACAUACACUGUCUUUUUUCAGAUGAAGAUAAAAAGAAAAGCAAGAAGAGGAAAAAGAAGAGCAAAAAGAAGAAGUAUAAGAAGAAGAAAGCUAAGAAGAGCAGGAAGGAAUCCAGUGAUUCAAGUAGUGAAGAUUCCGAUGAUGAAAUGCUCCAGGGGGAUGAUCUCUGGAUAGAGAGGUCAAAAAAUACUGAAGCUGACAGUUUGAUUGGACCAGAGGCUCCCAAAACUCACGCAUCUCAGGAUGAUAGGCCUUUGAA